rnacentral:rRNA from 1 species
UAGGAAGCGAAUAAGAGCGUGCGGGGGAUGCCUUGGCUCUCGGAGACGACGAAGGACGUGGUAAGCUGCGAAAAGUCACGGGGAGUUGCAAACGAGCUUAGAUCCGUGAGUGUCCGAAUGGGGCAACCCAUCCUGAUGAAGUCGGGAAGACAAAGUCGUGAACCUCCUGAACUGAAACAUCUAAGUAGGGAGAGGAAGAGAAAACAAAAGUGAUUCCGUAAGUAGUGGCGAGCGAAAGCGGAAUAGGCCAAACCAGUGAGCGUGCUCACUGGGGUUGUAGGACUGCGCUGUGGACAUAUACUUUUUAGCUGAAGUGUUUGGAAAGACACACCGAAGGAGGUGAUAGUCCUGUAAGUGAAAGGAAGUAUAUACCUAGCAGUAUCCUGAGUAGGGCGGGGCUGGAGAAACCCUGUCUGAAUCUGGCGGCACCAUCCGCUAAGCCUAAAUACUACCGAGAGACCGAUAGCGAACCAGUACCGUAAGGGAAAGGUGAAAAGAACCCUGAGCAAGGGAGUGAAAAGACCCUGAAACCGCACGCUUACAAGCGGUCGGAGCAAGCCUGAGUAAUCGGGUGAGUGACGGCGUGCCUUUUGCAUAAUGAGCCUACGAGUUACACCUGUCUGGCAGCCUAAGUACUUAAGGUACGGAAGCAUAGCGAAAGCGAGUCUUAACAGGGCGAUAGUCAGGCGGGGUAGACGCGAAACCGAGUGAUCUAUCCAUGGGCAGGUUGAAGUUCCGAUAGUCUCGGAAUGGAGGACCGAACUGGUAAACGUUGAAAAGUUUUCGGAUGACCUGUGGAUAGGGGUGAAAGGCCAAUCAAACUCGGAGAUAGCUCGUACUCCCCGAAAUGCAUUUAGGUGCAGCGUUGUGAAGUAUGUGUUGGAGGUAAAGCUACUGAGAAGGCUAGGGGGCUUCACCGCCUACCAACCCUUAACAAACUCUGAAUGCCAAUACAUAGCAGCAGCAGUGAGCCCUGGGGUGCGAAGGUCACAGGGCGAGAGGGGAACAACCCAGACCAACAGUUAAGGUCCCUAAGAGAUAGCUAAGUUGCAUAAACGAGGUGGGAAUGCAGUGACAGCCAGGAUGUUUGCUUGGAAGCAGCAAUUCAUUCAAAGAGUGCGUAACAGCUCACUGGUCGAGCGUUCCUGCGCGGAAAAUAAACGGGCAUCAAGCUAUUCACCGAAACUUUGGAUUCUCGUAAGAGAGUGGUAGGGGAGCAUUCUGCGUGGUUGAAGCGGUGUUGCGAAGGACCGUGGACAUAGCAGAAAAGCAAAUGUAGGCAUAAGUAACGAUAAAUGGCGUGGAAAACGUCAUCGCCGAAAGACCAAGGGUUCCUGAUCUACGUUCAUCGGAUCAGGGUGAGUCGGGUCCUAAGGAUAAGCCGUGAGGCGAAGCCGAUGGCAAAUGGGUAAAGAUUCCCAUACCAGCUUAUACUGCGAAGCAGGGACGAAGGAUUGGAUGUGCCGCCUCGAGACGGAAUACGAGGUUAAAGCCGCAAGGUAAUAGUACGCCGAGCCCUUCGGGGCGAGGUGAUAGAGCACAGAAGGUACUUCCAGGAAAAUCUGCAGAAGCAUCAGGUAUAAGGUGCCCGUACCGUAAACCGACACAGGUGGUCGAGGAGAGCAUCCUAAGGCGCUCGAGUGAUUCGUGGCUAAGGAACUAGGCAAAAUGGUCUCGUAACUUCGGGAGAAGAGACGCCCCGCGAGGGGCCGCAGUGAAGAGGCCCAGGCGACUGUUUAUCAAAAACACAUGGCUAUGCGAAAUCGGAAGAUGAUGUAUAUGGCCUGACACCUGCCCGGUGCCGGAAGGUUAAGGGAGGGGCUUAGGGGCAACCCGAAGGUCUUGACUGAAGCCCCGGUAAACGGCGGCCGUAACUAUAACGGUCCUAAGGUAGCGAAAUUCCUUGUCGGGUAAGUUCCGACCUGCACGAAUGGUGUAACGAUCUGGGCACUGUCUCAGCCACGAGCUCGGUGA